AUACGGAGGGUGCAAGCGUUAAUCGGAAUUACUGGGCGUAAAGCGCGCGUAGGCGGUUUUGUAAGUCGGAUGUGAAAGCCCAGGGCUCAACCUUGGAAUUGCAUUCGAAACUGCAUGACUAGAGUAUGGUAGAGGGAAGUGGAAUUCCAGGUGUAGCGGUGAAAUGCGUAGAUAUCUGGAGGAACAUCAGUGGCGAAGGCGACUUCCUGGACCAAUACUGACGCUGAGGUGCGAAAGCGUGGGGAGCAAACAGGAUUAGAAACCCCGGUAGUCC
rnacentral:rRNA from 1 species